AUAAAAAUUAAGAGUUUUCAGGUCCGUUCCCCUGAGCCUCUCAUAGUGUCCUGUGCUAGAGCAACCUGUGGCCCCAAACCAUUGCCUGGCCUCUGUCUGUAGGCUGCUGGCACUGAAGUGCAUUGCACAGUA